GCAGGGUGGAAACGGAUAGAGUUGACGUAUUCGGACUCGCAUUCAGCCGAUGUUUGUGGUUGUUGCGAUGGCGGGCGAAUGUCUUCGUGGCGUUUGCUAGUCGUUGUUGACUGACCGUGAGCGUCGGUGCAUUUGUGGGUCGUUGUGCGCUGGAACGUGUGUGUUGGUCGUUGAUGGCUUUGGCACGAGGAUGCUUGUUUCGGCAAGUAAAACCGGGUCUUUGUUUGUCGGCGAUUCGACGUGCGCGUAUGCUUUAUGCGUGCGAGUGUAUUAGAUGGUUGUAUUACGAUGUUGCGUUUUAUGGCGGUCGCAUGCGACACGUGUAUUAUGCGACGUCGACAAUUGUCGAGUCCUCGUGCGUUGUUCCGGUGUAAAAGUCGAUCAUCUAUUCGACCCGUCUUGAAACACGGACCAAGGAGUUUAACGUCUACGCGAGUCAUUGGGUGUUUAAAACCUAAAGGCGUAAUGAAAGUGAAGGUUCUCUUGAUGGUACUAAUAUGCGAUCCGAUAGGCUGCGGCCUAGCCGGAGCAGCGUAGCCCCGUUCUUGUCGCUUGCGAUAGGGCGGAGGAAGAGCGUAUGCGUUGAGACCCGAAAGAUGGUGAACUAUGCUUGAGCAGGACGAAGUCAGAGGAAACUCUGAUGGAAGUCCGAAUCGGUUCUGACGUGCAAAUCGAUCG
rnacentral:rRNA from 1 species